AGCAGCACUAUCAUAUUUCUCCUUCAGGGCAUCGCCUACCUUGCGGAAAUCAGCAAGCUGAAGCCAACAGGUCUUCAGGCUACAGGAACCAGAGACACCAUGGCACUUACAGGCCACGUCAGCCAGGUUGUACACAGUUCUCCUCCCAGCCUCAUUGUUGUGUAGGUUCAUCAUGAUCCGGGCGCUCUCGUAGGAGCCUCUCUGGUAAACUCUCUCCCGUUCCCGGGCGUCAACAAACUCCUUGGCAAAGCGGUAUCCGUACUCGAUGUUGUCCCCGCAGCCGCCCCACAGCCAGUCCCGGGGCAGGUCCUUGGGCCGCGCGGCCCGGCUGCAGCCACAAGAGGAGAGCUCACCCUCCCGGCACGCCCGGCUCAUGGCGUUGACCACCCCGGCCGCGCUCACUGCGUAGGUGAACGCCGUCUCCCGGCUGCCUGUGUGGAAAGAGGAGGUGUAUUACAGGAAGGCCCGGGUGCGCUGUCCCA
rnacentral:lncRNA from 1 species